GAUGAACGCUAGCUACAGGCUUAACACAUGCAAGUCGAGGGGCAGCAGGGAUUUAGCUUGCUAAAUUCGCUGGCGACCGGCGCACGGGUGCGUAACGCGUAUCCAACCUUCCCGUUACUCCGGGAUAGCCUUCCGAAAGGGAGAUUAAUACCGGAUGGUGUUCAAAUGUCGCAUGUUAUUUGAACUAAAGAUUUAUCGGUAACGGAUGGGGAUGCGUGACAUUAGAUAGUAGGCGGGGUAACGGCCCACCUAGUCUACGAUGUCUAGGGGUUCUGAGAGGAAGGUCCCCCACACUGGAACUGAGACACGGUCCAGACUCCUACGGGAGGCAGCAGUGAGGAAUAUUGGUCAAUGGUCUGACGACUGAACCAGCCAUGCCGCGUGAAGGUGACGGCCCUAUGGGUCUUAAACUUCUUUUGUAAGGGAGCAAUAAGUCUCACGUGUGGGAUGAUGAGAGUACCUUACGAAUAAGCAUCGGCUAACUCCGUG
rnacentral:rRNA from 1 species